CGUGAGGAUGCCCACAAUCUUCUAAAGAAGACUAGGAGCUGGUAUCAGGCACACUCUGUUGCCCACGACACCUUGCUUAGCCACACCCCUAAGGGUAUUCAGCAGUAACAAACAUUAAGCUAUGAGUGAAAACUUGACUUAAUUACAGUUAAUAGGGCCGGUAAAACUCGUGCCAGCCACCGCGGUUAUACGAGAGACCCAAAUUGAUUGACAACGGCGUAAAGGGUGGUUAAAAUAUAUUCUACUAGGGCCGAACUAGCCCCUGACUGUUAUACGUUACGGAAUAAAGAAGAACUUAAACGAAGGUAGCCCUAAAAUUUUGAAGCCACGAAAGCUAGGAAACAAACUGGGAUUAGAUACCCCAUUAUGCCUAGCCAUAAACCCCGAUGAUGAGGCACAUCAAUCAUCCGCCAGGGUACUACAGGCGUAAGCUUAAAACCCAAAGGACUUGGCGGUGCUUUAGACCCCCCUAGAGGAGCCUGUUCUAUAACCGAUAAUCCCCGUUAAACCUCACCCUCUUUUGCUUUAUCCGCCUAUAUACCACCGUCGUCAGCUUACCCUUUGAAGGCUUAUUAGUNAGCAGAAUUGGUCUACCCCAAAACGUCAGGUCGAGGUGCAGUGUAUGAGAGGGGAAGAAAUGGGCUACAUUUACUAUAGUAGUAAAUAACGGAUUGGGUGCUGAAAAGCACCUUUGAAGGAG
rnacentral:rRNA from 1 species